rnacentral:rRNA from 1 species
GUCGAACGCUGGCGGCGUGCCUAAUACAUGCAAGUAGGACGCAGUUGCGAACGGUUGAUUAACGCGUCGGUAACUGCCGAUUAGAAGGGGAUAACUAUUGGAAACGAUAGCUAAUACCGCAUACUAGUAGCUGGACCUGCGUUGUAUUAGCUAGUCGGUAGGGUAAUGGCCUACCUAGGCGGCGAUACAUAGCCGACCUUGGAGGGUGGUCGACCACACUGGGACUGGGACACGGCCCAGACUUCUACGGGGGGCAGCAGGAGGUAAUCUUCGGCAAUGGGGGGAAACCUGACCGGGCAACUGCGCGUGAGUGAAGAAGGUUUUCGGGUCGUAAAGCUCUGUUGUGAAGGAAGCGGUACUUAACCAGAAAGGGACGGCUAACUACGUUCCAGCAGCCGCGGUAAUAC